CGGGUGAGUAACGCGUGGGUAACCUGCCUCACACCGGUGGACAACAGUUAGAAAUGACUGCUAAUACCGCAUAAGCGCACAGGACCGCAUGGUCUAGUGUGAAAAACUCCGGUGGUGUGAGAUGGACCCGCGUUUGAUUAGCUAGUUGGUGGGGUAACGGCCUACCAAGGCGACGAUCAAUAGCCGACCUGAGAGGGUGACCGGCCACAUUGGGACUGAGACACGGCCCAAACUCCUACGGGAGGCAGCAGUGGGGAAUAUUGCACAAUGGGGGAAACCCUGAUGCAGCGACGCCGCGUGAGUGAAGAAGUAUUUCGGUAUGUAAGGCUCUAUCAGCAGGGAAGAAAAUGACGGUACCUGACUAAGAAGCCCCGGCUAACUACGUGCCAGCAGCCGCGGUAAUACGUAGGGGGCAAGCGUUAUCCGGAUUUACUGGGUGUAAAGGGAGCGUAGACGGUAAAGCAAGUCUGAAGUGAAAACCCGGGGCUCAACCCCGGGACUGCUUUGGAAACUGUUUAACUAGAGUGCUGGAGAGGUAAGCGGAAUUCCUAGUGUAGCGGUGAAAUGCGUAGAUAUUAGGAGGAACACCGGUGGCGAAGGCGGCUUACUGGACAGUAACUGACGUUGAGGCUCGAAAGCGUGGGGAGCAAACAGGAUUAGAUACCCUGGUAGUC
rnacentral:rRNA from 1 species